rnacentral:rRNA from 1 species
AGCAACCGCGGUAAUUCCAGCUCCAAUAGCGUAUAUUAAAGUUGCUGCAGUUAAAAAGCUCGUAGUUGAAUUUCGGGACUAAUAUGUCGGUCGUGCCUCGGUACGUACUGGUAUUUUUGGUUUCUCCCUUCUGACGAACCUUGAUGUCAUUAAUUUGGUGUCUUGGGAAAUCAGGACUGUUACUUUGAAAAAAUUAGAGUGUUUAAAGCAGGCUCACGCUUGAAUACAUUAGCAUGGAAUAAUGAAAUAGGACGUUUGAUUCUAUUUUGUUGGUUUCUAGGAUCGACGUAAUGAUUAAUAGGGAUAGUUGGGGGCAUUAGUAUUCAAUUGUCAGAGGUGAAAUUCUUGGAUUUAUUGAAGACUAACUACUGCGAAAGCAUUUGCCAAGGAUGUUUUCAUUAAUCAAGAACGAAAGUUAGGGGAUCGAAGACGAUCAGAUACCGUCGUAGUCUUAACCAUAAACUAUGCCGACUAGGGAUCGGAUGAUGUUAAUUUUUAAUGACUCAUUCGGCGCCUUACG